rnacentral:rRNA from 1 species
UGAGGAAUAUUGGUCAAUGGGCGCGAGCCUGAACCAGCCAAGUAGCGUGAAGGAUGAAGGUCCUACGGAUUGUAAACUUCUUUUAUAAGGGAAUAAAGUCACCCACGUGUGGGUGUUUGUAUGUACCUUAUGAAUAAGCAUCGGCUAACUCCGUGCCAGCAGCCGCGGUAAUACGGAGGAUGCGAGCGUUAUCCGGAUUUAUUGGGUUUAAAGGGAGCGUAGACGGGCCGUUAAGUCAGCUGUGAAAGUUUGAGGCUCAACCUUAAAAUUGCAGUUGAUACUGGAUAUCUUGAGUGCAGUUGAGGCAGGCGGAAUUCGUGGUGUAGCGGUGAAAUGCUUAGAUAUCACGAAGAACUCCGAUUGCGAAGGCAGCCCGCUAAGCUGCAACUGACAUUGAGGCUCGAAAGUGUGGGUAUCAAACAGGAUUAGAUACCCUGGUAGUCCACACGGUAAACGAUGAAUACUCGCUGUUUGCGAUAUACUGCAAGCGGCCAAGCGAAAGCGUUAAGUAUUCCACCUGGGGAGUACGCCGGCAACGGUGAAACUCAAAGGAAUUGACGGGGGCCCGCACAAGCGGAGGAACAUGUGGUUUAAUUCGAUGAUACGCGAGGAACCUUACCCGGGCUUAAAUUGCAGAUGAAUUACGGUGAAAGCCGUAAGCCGCAAGGCAUCUGUGAAGGUGCUGCAUGGUUGUCGUCAGCUCGUGCCGUGAGGUGUCGGCUUAAGUGCCAUAACGAGCGCAACCCUUGUUGUCAGUUACUAACAGGUUCCGCUGAGGACUCUGACAAGACUGCCAUCGUAAGAUGUGAGGAAGGUGGGGAUGACGUCAAAUCAGCACGGCCCUUACGUCCGGGGCUACACACGUGUUACAAUGGGGGGUACAGAGGGCCGCUACCACGCGAGUGGAUGCCAAUCCCCAAAACCUCUCUCAGUUCGGACUGGAGUCUGCAACCCGACUCCACGAAGCUGGAUUCGCUAGUAAUCGCGCAUCAGCCACGGCGCGGUGAAUACGUUCCC